GAUGAAGAACGUAGCGAAAUGCGAUAAGUAAUGCGAAUUGCAGAAUUCAGUGAGUCAUCGAAUCUUUGAACGCACAUUGCGCCCUGUGGUAUUCCGCAGGGCAUGCCUGUUCGAGCGUCAUUUAACCCUCAAGCCUCGCUUGGUGUUGGGCCCUGCCCGCCGCGGCCGGCCCUAAAGAUAGUGGCGGCGCCGCCUGGCCCUCAGCGUAGUACAGCUCUCGCUCCAGGGUCCGGCGGCAGCCUGCCAGAACCCCCCAACUCUGUGGUUGACCUCGGAUCAGGUAGGGAUACCCGCUGAACUUAAGCAUAUCAAUAAGCGGAGGA
rnacentral:misc_RNA from 1 species